CUCAAGAGUUCUCUCUCUCCCUAUUUUCUUCUAUCUCUCCCAAUUGAGAGUGUGUCUCCGAGGAUCUCCAUUGCAAACCUUGGAUGUGGAGGGUGGAAAAUUUCCUAACGAGAUCACCGUAACCUUUCGUUCGUCUUUGUUCAUGCGGAUCGACGAGUGAUGCAACCCUAUCCAUUCGUUACGAGAAAAACUACAUCGAGGUUCAAGUGAUUUUGAGUGGACUUUAAUGAGAGACGGUUGGUAGCAUUAAGCAUGUGCAGUUGCAAGAGCCACAGAAGCUGAGGUCAAGCUAGGAUGAGGAGUUCAAGCACCUCCAAACUAAUGCAAGAGAGAUGCCUCAAUGGAUACAAAAAAGGUUUUUCAAUAGUUUACCAAGACUUUGAAAAAAAAAAAAAAAAAAGUAAAUGCACGAGGCUCCCGCUCCUACAGGGUCUGAAAGGGGGCAGGUAUGCAGCCUUACCCCUGCUUUGCAGGAGAGACUGUUUCCAAUUUUGACCAUGACAAAAAGAUUAUUUUUUAACCUCAUAAUUUUGAUCUGUUUUACCA